CUCACGUCAUAGGAGCGGCCGAUGGCGGAUUAGCUAGUUGGUGAGGUAAAGGCUUACCAAGGCGACGAUCCGUAGCUGGUCUGAGAGGACGACCAGCCACACUGGGACUGAGACACGGCCCAGACUCCUACGGGAGGCAGCAGUGGGGAAUCUUGGACAAUGGGGGCAACCCUGAUCCAGCAAUGCCGCGUGUGGGAUGAAGGCCUUCGGGUUGUAAACCACUUUUGGCGGGGGCGAAAUAUCGAGUGAUAAUACCAUUCGGUGAUGACGGUACCCGCAGAAUAAGCACCGGCUAACUACGUGCCAGCAGCCGCGGUAAUACGUAGGGUGCGAGCGUUAAUCGGAAUUACUGGGCGUAAAGCGUGCGCAGGCGGAUUGUUAAGCAAGAUGUGAAAUCCCCGGGCUUAACCUGGGAAUGGCAUUUUGAACUGGCAGUCUAGAGUGCGUCAGAGGGGGGUGGAAUUCCACGUGUAGCAGUGAAAUGCGUAGAGAUGUGGAGGAACACCCAAUGGCGAAGGCAGCCCCCUGGGAUGACACUGACGCUCAUGUACGAAAGCGUGGGUAGCAAACAGGAUUAGAUACCCUGGUAGUCCACGCCCUAAACGAUGUCAACUGGUUGUUGGGGGAGUGAAAUCCCUUAGUAACGAAGCUAACGCGUGAAGUUGACCGCCUGGGGAGUACGGUCGCAAGAUUAAAACUCAAAGGAAUUGACGGGGACCCGCACAAGCGGUGGAUGAUGUGGAUUAAUUCGAUGCAACGCGAAAAACCUUACCUACCCUUGACAUGUCCAGAACCCUGCAGAGAUGCGGGGGUGCCCGAAAGGGAAUUGGAACACAGGUGCUGCAUGGCUGUCGUCAGCUCGUGUCGUGAGAUGUUGGGUUAAGUCCCGCAACGAGCGCAACCCUCAUCCCUAGUUGCCAUCAUUCAGUUGGGCACUCUAAGGAAACUGCCGGUGAUAAGCCGGAGGAAGGUGGGGAUGACGUCAAGUCCUCAUGGCCCUUACGCGCUGGGCUACACACGUGCUACAAUGGCGGUGACAGUGGGCAGCAACUCCGCGAGGAGUAGCUAAUCUCCAAAAACCGUCUCAGUUCGGAUUGUUCUCUGCAACUCGAGAGCAUGAAGGCGGAAUCGCUAGUAAUCGCGGAUCAGCAUGCCGCGGUGAAUACGUUCCCAGGCCU
rnacentral:rRNA from 1 species